rnacentral:rRNA from 1 species
GCCAGUAACUGGGGUGAAGUCGUAACAAGGUAGCCGUAUCGGAAGGUGCGGCUGGAUCACCUCCUUUCUAGGGAA